UGCUUUUAUGAUGUUAAUGAAUUAUAACACAGCAGUGUUUCAUAAUGAGAGCAGCAGCAGGCUUUAAGCCUGCAAGUCAAUUCUUCCUGCAACUUUGGUUUUCCUGUCGAGGCACAGACAGCAUGUUGAGCCUGACACAUCACAUCAGUGUGGGGUGCUAUUAGAGAACUUCACUAUUUCAUGCAGAUUUCUUCUCUGGAAAGCAAGUUGCAUCAAGUCUAACUACAACGCUGUACUGAAUGGUCGACAUUAGUUUUAUAACAGCAUAUUCCUUCAUCUAGACCUUCUCCAUACCACUUGAGCCUGUGCAGGGUAGUGGGAGCUGGUGCCUAGCGCCAGCAGCCAUUGGUCCAUGCAACAUAUCCAGGUCAUUUUAAACUCAAUUUUACUUUUAUGGUCAACAGCGAAGCAACUUCAAUAUUUAAAGACAAGAGAAAAAUUUAGAUUUAAAAAGAUUUUCAUCCAGAUUACUCUAACUGACCAAACCCAACCCCAGUGCUAAAAAAGCCAUGCAAACGGGUAUGGAUGGGGUAAAAGGUCAACUUCCUUGUUUGAAUUCCCCCCCAAAAAGUCCCAUAAUGAAGAUGUUUUAAGUAUGUAAAGAAUAGAGCUGAAACAACUAAUCGAUUUAAUCGAUUAUAAUCGAUUAUUAAAAUAGUUAACAACUUUUUUAGUCAUCGAUUAGUUGUUUAAUAAUCAUAUUUUACCGCAUAAAGUCUAUUUUUUACCACAAUCUGACAUCGGUUACAAUCUGUUAAAUUUGCCGCCAGUGUGUGGCAGUAAUGAGCCACUGAUCUACCAGUGGAGCCGUAGAAGAAGAAAUGAGCCAAUAAGUGCCCUCGGUUUUCAUGACGUAUCACGUUACUGACGCUCAUCUUGCUGUGAGAGAUGGCGGAUCAACAAGAAAUACGGAAGAAAAAUAGAAGCGACAAAACAAGAGAAACCCCGGACAAAAACCUCAUGAGUAUGGGAGCACUUCACUAGAUGCCUUGAAAAGACCGGUGACCUGCAAAAUAUGCAAAAACCAUGGCACGACGGAAGCACAACGUCCCUAAGUGAACAUUUGAGACGAAAACGUGGAGGCUGAUGCAGCAGAGGAAUGUCCGAAAAAAACAAGCAACGAUGGACAACUACAUGGGGAACAAGACACUCACCCCCAGCAAUGCAUACCACUUACAAACUCUAUUCCAGAUUCUACAUUAUUUUUUAUGGAAUUUACCUCUUAUAUUUUGAUGCCAAAAAAUUAUUCUGGACUGAUAUUUUGCACUGUUUAGCUCAUUUUACACCGCUGACUGUGUUCAUGUGCAAUAAAAUAGAUUGCAGUCAACUGCACAAUUCUCUUAUGUUUUUCUUUUUCUUAACUGAAAUGUAUUCAUCUUUUGUAUAGGUUAAAUAGCUAAACAA